GAUGAACGCUAGCGACAGGCCUAACACAUGCAAGUCGAGGGGCAGCACAAGGAGCAAUCUGAGGUGGCGACCGGCGCACGGGUGAGUAACACGUAUGCAACCUGCCUGUAAGCGGGGAAUAACCCGUUGAAAGACGGACUAAUACCGCAUAAAACUGGGAAUCUGCAUGGAUAUUCAGUUAAACAUUUAUGGCUUACAGAUGGGCAUGCGCAUGAUUAGAUAGUUGGAGAGGUAACGGCUCCCCAAGUCAACGAUCAUUAGGGGUUCUGAGAGGAAGGUCCCCCACACUGGUACUGAGGCACGGACCAGACUCCUACGGGAGGCAGCAGUGAGGAAUAUUGGUCAAUGGGCGAGAGCCUGAACCAGCCAAGUCGCGUGCAGGAAGAAUGUCCUAUGGAUUGUAAACUGCUUUUGCAGGGGAAUAAAGUGCGGCACGUGUGCCGUUUUGUAUGUACUCUGCGAAUAAGGAUCGGCUAAC
rnacentral:rRNA from 1 species